rnacentral:rRNA from 1 species
GACGAACGCUGGCGGCGUGCCUAAUACAUGCAAGUCGAACGCUUUUCCUUUCACCGGAGCUUGCUCCACCGAAAGAAAAAGAGUGGCGAACGGGUGAGUAACACGUGGGUAACCUGCCCAUCAGAAGGGGAUAACACUUGGAAACAGGUGCUAAUACCGUAUAACACUAUUUUCCGCAUGGAAGAAAGUUGAAAGGCGCUUUUGCGUCACCGAUGGAUGGACCCGCGGUGCAUUAGCUAGUUGGUGAGGUAACGGCUCACCAAGGCAACGAUGCAUAGCCGACCUGAGAGGGUGAUCGGCCACACUGGGACUGAGACACGGCCCAGACUCCUACGGGAGGCAGCAGUAGGGAAUCUUCGGCAAUGGACGAAAGUCUGACCGAGCAACGCCGCGUGAGUGAAGAAGGUUUUCGGAUCGUAAAACUCUGUUGUUAGAGAAGAACAAGGAUGAGAGU